rnacentral:rRNA from 1 species
GAUGAACGCUGGCGGCGUGCUUAACACAUGCAAGUCGAACGGAAAGGCCCAAGCUUGCUUGUGUACUCGAUUGGCGAACGGGUGAGUAACACGUGGGUGAUCUGCCCUGCACUUCGGGAUAAGCCUGGGAAACUGGGUCUAAUACCGGAUAGGACGAUGGUUUGGAUGCCAUUGUGGAAAGUUUUUUCGGUGUGGGAUGAGCUCGCGGCCUAUCAGCUUGUUGGUGGGGUAAUGGCCGACCAAGGCGUCGACGGGGAGCCGGCCUGAGAGGGUGUACGGCGGCAGUUGGCCUGAGAUACGGCCCAGACCCCUACGGGAGGCAGCAGUGGGGAAUAUUGCACAAUGGGAGCAAGCCUGAUGCCGCGACGCCGCGUGGGGGAUGACGGCCUUCGGGUUGUAAACUCCUUUCGCUAGGGACGAAGCGUUUUUGUGACGGUACCUGGAGAAGAAGCACCGGCUAACUACGUG